AUUGAACGCUGGCUACAGGCUUAACACAUGCAAGUCGAGGGGUAACAAGAGAAAAGCUUGCUUUUCUUGUUGACGACCGGCGCACGGGUGAGUAACGCGUAUCCAACCUGCCCAUAACUAGGGAAUAACCUUGCGAAAGUAAGACUAAUACCCUAUAAUUUCCUUUGACGGCAUCUGACGAGGAAUAAAGAUUUAUCGGUUAUGGAUGGGGAUGCGUCUGAUUAGCUUGUUGGCGGGGUAACGGCCGACCAAGGCAACGAUCAGUAGGGGUUCUGAGAGAAAGGUCCCCCACAUUGGGACUGAGACACGGUCCAAACUCCUACGGGAGGCAGCAGUGAGGAAUAUUGGUCAAUGGUCGGAAGCCUGAACCAGCCAAGUAGCGUGCAGGAUGACGGCCCUAUGGGUUGUAAACUGCUUUUAUACAGGAAUAAAGUUAGCCACGUGUGGUUAUUUGUAGGUACUGUAUGAAUAAGGACCGGCUAAUUCCGUGCCAGCCGCCGCAGUAA
rnacentral:rRNA from 1 species